UCUGCAGACAAGGUCUUGAGCCUAAUUAAUCAAAUUAAAGAAUCCAUUCCUCAGCCUCUCCAUUAAUCAAGCUGUACUGUGUGAUGUGAAUGUAAAUUGACCUUACUGGAAGAGACUCCAUCAAGCAUCACAUCGCAAACACGCUGCACAUAAUGGACCCAUACCAGCAGAUUAAGAAGAAGGUAACAACCGACUCAACAAAGGACCUAUAAAAAAAAGGCGCUGUCAGGCGUGCUGCACCGAGUGGAGGAGCUCAGUGAAGACUGGCGCUCUCUGAGAAGCGUAUCCAGCCAAGAGACCAUCUGUCACUGCGAAUAACUGCGUGACAGCACAAAUACAGUCCUACCUCACUAAAACCCCGACUAGCACCGAGAACUGAUGGAUAUGAGAGCUUGGAAAUGAAAGAACGGAUCCAAACAAAGCAUUUCUUGUCACAGUGAAAAGGAAUGAAUGAAUAUAAAGCAAACAGUCAUAGAUUUAAGAUGAUUGCUAAUACUACCUUUGAAAGACUAAAUAGCCUAUUUGAGUGGUAAGCAAGGAGUUUUAUAUCGUGUCUAGCUGAAACUGCUCAUUUAGCAUUAUUUAUUAUAGGCCUAGGUGAACCUGGUGUUAGUAUGGUGUAGUUAGCCCCUACUGGUAGAUGUUGUUACUACACUCGU